CCAUCGUCCAGUAACCUCUCCCGCGCGCCCUAUCUCGCUUCUUCUCCCUUCUCCCUUCCUUUUCUCUCUCUCACAAAUCUUGUCUCUCUCUGUUUCAGAAACAACAGCACCAUGGAUCCUGAUGUGGAGCUCCACUGCAGCCCGAUCUGACCUGGGAGCGACCAGAUCCGUGCGUCUCCGCCUCACUCCGCGUGCCUCCAUGGUCCGCCGUCUUCCCGAGCACCGGCGCCACGCGACCAGAUCCGUGCGUCUCCGCCUCGCUCCGCGCGCCUCCAUGGUCCGCCGUCUUCCCGAGCGCCGGCGCUGCGCUCAGCCGACGCCAUCCCAUGCCAUGGUCGCCUCCCUCCAGAACGACGUGGCAUGGUCGCUUCCCUGCCUCUCCCGCAAGUGGGCCUUUGCGUUUCUUUGCUUUUUUUCAGGACACUAGGUGCCAGGUUGGAGAUUUGGGAUCGGAUGCGCCAAUAACAAGGGACCAAGGUGAUGAACUAACGGCACGGGCAGAAUGAUUCUUCAGGAGGAUUAUCACUGUAUGAUAUGAGAUCAGGACGUUUAGCAAUGAUAAAACUCUGACAUUGGAUGGUUCUUUUCUGAAGUACAGUUGUAAGAUCUUUGAUUCUAGCUUCGACCUUUAACUGGACAGUACUAAUUGGACAUAUAA